CCUACGGGAGGCAGCAGUGGGGAAUAUUGCGCAAUGGGCGAAAGCCUGACGCAGCGACGCCGCGUGAGGGAUGAAGGUCUUCGGAUCGUAAACCUCUGUCAGCAGGGAAGAACGGUCACUGUGCUAAUCAGCAGUGAAUUGACGGUACCUGCAAAGGAAGCACCGGCUAACUCCGUGCCAGCAGCCGCGGUAAUACGGAGGGUGCGAGCGUUAAUCGGAAUUACUGGGCGUAAAGCGCUCGUAGGCGGUAUGUCAAGUCAAGGGUGAAAUCCCCGCGCUCAACGUGGGAACUGCCUUUGAAACGGGCAAACUGGGGUGUGUGAGAGGAUAGUGGAAUUGCAGGUGUAGGAGUGAAAUCCGUAGAGAUCUGGAGGAACAUCAGUGGCGAAGGCGACUAUCUGGCACAUAACUGACGCUGAGGAGCGAAAGCGUGGGUAGCAAACAGGAUUAGAUACCCGGGUAGUC
rnacentral:rRNA from 1 species